ensembl:misc_RNA 7SK 7SK RNA
GGAUGUGAGGACAAUCUGGCUUCCACAUCUGUCACCCCAUUGAUUCAGCUGAUCCGCCUGGUUAGGCGGGUGCCCCCUUCCUUCCUCACCACUCCAUGUCCUUCCCGAAGCUGCAUGCUCAGUCCAAGAGGAUGACCUUCCCCAAAUAGAGGAGGACCAGUCUUCGGUGAAGGGUCUACAAGUAGCUGUGCUCCCCUGCUAGAACCUCCAAACAAGCUCUCAAGAAUGCACGAGUAACUAACACUAUGAAGAAGAAUGAGGACAUGACUAACUCAAGCUAGGAUGCUGGAAAGAGCACAUAAGAGGUUUCUGGGCUACUCU